GAAGCUGGUCAAUCACCGGCAGCCCGCUGCCCACCGACCCGACAACGGAGCCGAGAAAAAGGCGUGUCUCAUUCUGUGUGCGCUGCGGUGGGCUGCCUAUCGAGCUGCUACCCUACUCCUGCAGCUCUAAGGGAGCUGGGAUGGGCCAAUUUGGCGGCGCCUCCUUGCCAUUCCUUCCCCAGCUGUGUGUUAUUGUGCCUCCUACAUUCCUCAGCUCUCCAGGCCGCGUCGCCGCUCCGCUCCCUCCCUCACAGCCGCCUAUUGAGUCGCCCCGCCGGGCAGACUGCCUGGCGCCACACAUCGGGACCUCAUCCAUUCACACCCAGCUCCUCUUCUUUCUUUCUUUCUUUCUUUCUUUCUUUUUUUCUUUCUUUCCUUCUUUCUUUCUUUCUUUCUGGAAGGUUGCCCAGACAACACUGACUAGAACUUCACUUCAGCCUUUUGAGUGUUUUCCAUCCUGGGGGGACUCUAGCUGGGAUGACACCCACCUCACUACCUCUUUGGAGGUUUAAUGUCCCAAACUUUAUGGGAACUGCCACAUUCUCCUCCGUCAUGAAUAUUGAAAAGCUUAAAUGGCUGUAAAUGGGAAGCCUAUUUUCCUCUUCUCUCCGUCCUCCUUCCUCUGUCUCUCUGUUUUCUGUUGCCAUGGGAAGUCACUGUUCUGCUCAGUAAUGUGUGCAACAAUGUUUGGUUCAGGGACGACUUCAAAGGGAUCAGUGGUAUGAAUCUUUGAUGGUAGCCUUUCCACGAGCACCAUGGUGCAUGAACUCAUCGUCCAUGACAGGCAGAUGAUGGAUGAGGCCUGAGAGGAAAACACUGUCCGGCUUAGACGUAGCAAACACGCACUAAUGCUAUCAUUUUAACUAUUUAUGUAUGUAAUAAAACAGAAAGCUGGAGAUUCUACAUAGAGUUUAGAUUUCACGUUUCUGGCUUCUACGUUGAAGGCUAAUGGGUUGAAACUUUUUGCUGCCAAGUUUUGCUUGUUUUUCCAUGUAAAAUCAUUCAUUUGCCACAGAAAUGCAGAUUCAAAAUGUAAAUUUUGUGAACAGGCAAAUAUUAAACUGGAGACUGCAUGGAGCCCAA